AAUGCUCAUUACAACAGCCAUAGUUUAUUGGAUCUUCUCUCUACUUGGAUACCUGUGGUAAUUCUAGAGCUAAUACACGCACGAAAGCCNCGACUUCGGGAGGGGCGCAUUUAUUAGAACAAAACCAAUCGGGCUUGCCCGUCNUUUGGUGAAUCUGAAUAACUCAGUUGAUCGCACAGUCCUCGAACUGGCGACGUAUCUUUCAAGUGUCUGCCUUAUCAACUUUCGAUGGUAGUUUACAUGACUACCAUGGUUGUAACGGGUAACGGAGAAUAAGGGUUCGACUCCGGAGAGGGAGCCUGAGAAACGGCUACCACAUCCAAGGAAGGCAGCAGGCGCGCAAAUUACCCACUCUCAGUACGAGGAGGUAGUGACGAAAAAUAACGAGACGGUUCUCUAUGAGGUCCGUCAUCGGAAUGGGUACAAUUUAAACCCUUUAACGAGGAUCUAUUGGAGGGCAAGUCUGGUGCCAGCAGCCGCGGUAAUUCCAGCUCCAAUAGCGUAUACUAAAGUUGUUGCGGUUAAAAAGCUCGUAGUUGGAUCUGCGGUCUCGCGUGCCGGUGAAUCCUCAGGAUUUUACUGGUUUCGCAGGCCUACCUCGCUGGUUUUCCCUUGGUCCUCUUUACUGAGUGCCC
rnacentral:rRNA from 1 species